GAUGAACGCUGGCGGCGUGCUUAACACAUGCAAGUCGAACGAUGAAGCCCAGCUUGCUGGGUGGAUUAGUGGCGAACGGGUGAGUAACACGUGAGUAACCUGCCCUUAACUCUGGGAUAAGCCUGGGAAACUGGGUCUAAUACCGGAUAGGAGCGUCCACCGCAUGGUGGGUGUUGGAAAGAUUUAUCGGUUUUGGAUGGACUCGCGGCCUAUCCGCUUGUUGGUGAGGUAAUGGCUCACCAAGGCCACGACGGGUAGCCGGCCUGAGAGGGUGACCGGCCACACUGGGACUGAGACACGGCCCAGACGCCAACGGGAGGCAGCAGUGGGGAAUAUUGCACAAUGGGCGCAAGCCUGAUGCAGAGACGCCGCGUGAGGGAUGACGGCCUUCGGGUUGUGAACAUCUUUCAGUAGGGAAGAAGCGAUAGUGACGGUACCUGCAGAAGAAGCACCGGCUAACUACGUG
rnacentral:rRNA from 1 species